CAGCCCUCUCUCCUCCUCUUCAUCCUCUCACUCCUCAUCCUCCCCUCCCCUUGCCUCUUCCUAGUUCGAUGAGAUCGGCUCUGGGCCCUGCCGUGAGUUCUCGGUGCCGGCGACAGCGCUGCUGAAUAUGGCGUCAGACGGGAUGAUUUUAACGAACCACGACCACCAAAUCCGUGUCGGAGUCCUGACAGUGAGUGACAGCUGUUUUCGGAACCUAGCGGAGGACCGCAGCGGCAUCAACCUUAAAGAUCUUGUCCACGACCCCUCCUUGUUGGGGGGCAUGAUCGUGGCCUACAAGAUAGUGCCAGAUGAGAUAGAUGAAAUCAAGGAAACACUGGUGGACUGGUGUGAUGAGAAAGAACUCAACCUCAUUCUCACCACUGGGGGCACUGGCUUCGCCCCGAGAGAUGUAACACCAGAGGCCACUAAGGAGGUGAUAGAGCGGGAGGCACCUGGGAUGUCUCUGGCAAUGCUGAUGGGAUCCCUCAAUGUCACACCAUUAGGCAUGCUUUCCAGACCUGUGUGCGGUAUCCGAGGCAAGACGCUCAUCAUCAACUUACCAGGAAGCAAGAAAGGCUCCCAGGAAUGCUUUCAGUUUAUCCUCCCAGCGCUGCCACACGCCAUUGACCUCCUUCGGGACGCGGUGGUGAAGGUAAAAGAGGCGGUAGAUGAGCUGGAGGACUUGCCUUCGCCACCACCACCUCUUUCACCACCUCCCAACAGUUCACCGCGCCGCCAGACAGAAGACAAAGGUGUGCAGUGUGAAGACGAGGAUGAGGAGAAGAAGGACAGCGGGGUGGCAUCCACCGAGGACAGCUCCUCCUCCCACAUCACCGCCGCAUCCAUUGCUGCCAAGAUCCCAGACUCCAUUAUCUCGCGGGGUGUGCAGGUGUUACCCAGGGAUGCAGCCUCCCUCAGUACCACACCAUCCGAGUCACCUCGCGCCCAGGCCACCUCCCGUCUCUCUACUGCUUCCUGUCCCACACCCAAAGCGCGGCUUCCCUCCUGUUCAUCCACCCUAAGCAUUGCUGAGGCCUCACGGAGAGAAUUCAGGGCUCACCUGGAUGAGGUCAUCACGCUCAAGUCAAGGUACUCUACCUUGGACCAGCUCCAGUGUAGGUUGGAGGGGCUUAAAGAUGAUCGCAGGAGGACCUUCAGCUCUCGAGUGCAGUCACGAUGCAGCAGCAAAGAAAAUAUCCUUAGAUCAAGUCACAGUGCAGUGGACAUCACAAAGGUGGCCCGAAGGCACCGCAUGUCCCCUUUUCCCCUUACCUCCAUGGACAAGGCCUUCAUCACUGUGCUGGAGAUGACCGCCGUCCUGGGCACUGAAAUUAUCAACUAUAGAGAUGGAAUGGGUCGAGUCCUGGCUCAGGACGUUUAUGCCAAAGACAACCUUCCACCCUUUCCUGCUUCAGUAAAGGAUGGAUAUGCUGUGAGAGCGGCUGACGGCCCAGGUGAUCGCUUCAUCAUCGGUGAAUCCCAAGCUGGAGAGCAGCCUACCCAUACAGUGAUGCCUGGCCAGGUGAUGAGGGUGACGACGGGAGCUCCUAUCCCCUGCGGUGCAGAUGCUGUCGUCCAGGUGGAAGAUACCGAGCUCCUCCGCGAGUCUGAAGAUGGAACAGAGGAGUUGGAGGUCCGAAUUCUAGUACAAGCCCGUCCAGGACAGGAUAUCAGGCCUAUCGGUCAUGACAUCAAGCGUGGGGAAUGUGUGCUGGCAAAGGGCACCCAUAUGGGGCCUUCUGAAAUUGGCCUGUUGGCCACUGUUGGGGUCACAGAAGUGGAGGUCCAGAAAUUCCCUGUUGUAGCAGUCAUGUCCACGGGAAAUGAGCUGCUGAACCCAGAGGACGACCUCCAUCCUGGGAAAAUUAGGGACAGCAAUCGUUCCACCCUGCUCGCCACUAUCCAGGAACAUGGCUACCCCACUAUCAAUCUGGGAAUCGUUGGGGACAACCCAGAUGACCUUUUGAACGCUCUGAAUGAAGGCAUCAGUCGUGCUGAUGUCAUCAUCACCUCAGGAGGAGUGUCCAUGGGAGAGAAGGAUUACCUCAAGCAGGUGCUGGAUAUCGAUCUUCAUGCUCAGAUCCAUUUUGGUCGUGUUUUCAUGAAACCAGGUCUCCCAACAACAUUUGCCACCUUGGACAUAGAUGGUGCUCGCAAACUAAUCUUUGCUCUCCCAGGUAGAAACCCGGUGUCCGCUGUUGUCACCUGUAAUCUUUUUGUCAUCCCUGCUUUGAGGAAAAUGCAGGGUAUUUUGGACCCUAGGCCCACCAUCAUCAAAGCGAGGUUGUCGUGUGAUGUGAAGCUGGACCCUCGCCCUGAAUAUCACCGCUGCAUUUUGACGUGGCAUCACCAGGAGCCUCUGCCGUGGGCACAGAGCACAGGGAACCAGGUGAGCAGCAGACUGAUGAGCAUGCGCAGUGCCAACGGGCUCCUGAUGCUACCUCCAAAAACAGAGCAAUACGUGGAACUGCACAAGGGCGAGGUGGUCGACGUCAUGGUCAUCGGACGGCUAUGAUGUCGUCAGAGGGGGACGUGGGAUGACGUCACUUAUAGCGAGCGUUGGAAUGGGUGGUUCACGUGGAAAAAAAUCAGUUUUCUGAAAGUGAAGAAAACAUGGAAGGCUCCAGAUUUCGUAUGGUGCUCACUUCAGAGGAAAGAGGCCGCGUAUCAAGGCCACCUCGUCCUCUGAGGGCCCAUUAAGGUGACACUUCUGUUUUUCCCUCAUUAGUAUGCAUCAUAAUGGCUUCACAAAGAGCUUUGCUUGUUGUUUAUCUUGUGAGUCUUGUUUAUGUGCGCAGUGCCAAAUGCCUGGGCAGAAAGGAGGUGGUGUUGGGAGGAAGA